AGGCGUACGUAGGAUUUAUAUAGGCAGAUGGCCCCCAAUUUUUGAAAAAUAAUAAGAUCGAUGACAGUGUUGAAAAUCGACAGUUUUCACUAAAAUAAACUUUAAACUACCGAACUGUGUCGUUUUUAAUAAUAACACAUUCUCAGUAUUGAUGUAAAAUGGAUUUAAAAUACGACCGGUACAGGCAUUUUGCGUUAAAAUUGCUGAAUUCGGCCAUUUCAGACUCAAAAUUCGCUUAUUAGCAACCCUUGCUUCAAGUAACAAUUUAUAACAGCUAUUUCAUUUGUUAAUUCUAUUUAAUAUUUUCCUAACCAGAAACUGAAGCAAGGGUUGCUAAUAAAUGAAUUUUGGAAAAAAUGAUAUUAUUUGUCUGGCCUUUCUCACGUAUAAGAGUGGCCUCCCUUGAAGCCAGGUGCUCGUUGCCAGGCAAUAUUAUAGGUGGCGCCGCUGUCAACAUGUGCAUGUGAAAACGAAAGUAGAUUGUUUAUCUAGGAAUUAUUACAACAUUUUACCCUUCUACGUUGAAUUUUUAAGAUAUAAUAGUAUGAAUAUAGAGAUGAUUAUUUAGUUACCUUCAACUGGUCAGUGGUCAAAAGGGAGUAUGUCUGUGUGUCUUGAAGCAUUGAAUGCCCCCCAAAAAAAC
rnacentral:lncRNA from 1 species